rnacentral:rRNA from 1 species
UACGUAGGGUGCAAGCGUUAUCCGGAAUUAUUGGGCGUAAAGAGCUCGUAGGCGGUUUGUCGCGUCUGCUGUGAAAACUGGAGGCUCAACCUCCAGCCUGCAGUGGGUACGGGCAGACUAGAGUGCGGUAGGGGAGAUUGGAAUUCCUGGUGUAGCGGUGGAAUGCGCAGAUAUCAGGAGGAACACCGAUGGCGAAGGCAG